AUCUGGGAACUUGGCCCACACUCUUUCUCCAUGAGAUUUGAAGGGCAAUGUGUCAUUCUGGGAGAGGUCUGCAGUUUUUCCAAAUAUAAACUUUGCUGUUCUUAGGGUUAUCAUGUACAAGGGCAGUUGUGUUCAUUGAACAUAUUAGGAUUUAGAGGGAUAGAUAUUGAGUAGGAGAUGCCAAAAGGUUUUGGGUCAGAUUCCUGCUCUACUGCAGGGCCAGGGCCUAUGCCCAGGACAGUAGAAAUUAAAAUGAGUGCUUAAAACAUUGGGAGCUGUAAGGAGUUGAAUGAAAGGAGCAACCCUUAAGGGAUAGGGUGUCUGGGAACAGCUUCUUGAGUGGCAGUAUGAAGGAUGGGUGGAGUUUGGACAGACACAGAGGAAAAGACAGUGUUUCCGGAAGCCACAGAGCAUGAAAAAAGGCAGGAGGUGGCAAUGACUAUGGUGUAGUGGGAAAGCAGAGAGAAACGUGGUUGGCCACAGUCUGGGGCUGUGAUGAGACUGAAUGUAGCCAAAUGAUGAAGGUUGAGGAAAGUAGUCUUUUUUUUUUUAUUUAGGUAAAAGGGAGACAGAUUGAAGUUUGUCUUUACCUGGAUGCAAUGCAAUGUGAGCAGAGGAUUAAAAAGUGGCAAGAUGACUCAGGGAGAGAGAGAAGUCAGCUGGGUGACUGAGGCCAAACCAGUAUGGGAGCUCCUUUGAAAAACCCAGCGAGGGCCAGGAAGGCCAGACAAGUGGACUUUCAUUGCAGGGUAAGUAUUGCAUGUUUCUUCUGACCAGGUAAUUAUCGGUUAUAGGACAAAGAGGAAGCCCGAUUUAUCAACAAAGUGAAAUUAAAAAUUAACAUGCUCCUGUUUGCUCAAUUGUAAUCUUUGAAGCAGUCAAUAUCUACAGGCUGUGCCAGUAACCUGAUUUCAGGGCAGCCACAGAGUCUGCUCAGAGACCAGCCCAGUUAAACAGUUAAGGCUGAGAUCAGUUGGGGAAGACUGGAAAUUAAAUAUGUUUAGGCAAUGAAUACUCACAAAGUGCUUAGGGAUUUCUCGCUGGGGGCUGGUAUUGGUGGUGCGGGUGUGCUGGGUUUGAGAGGACC
rnacentral:lncRNA from 1 species